rnacentral:rRNA from 1 species
AACGAACGCUGGCGGCAUGCCUAACACAUGCAAGUCGAACGAGACCUUCGGGUCUAGUGGCGCACGGGUGCGUAACGCGUGGGAACCUUCCCUUAGGUUCGGAAUAACUCUCCGAAAGGGGUGCUAAUACCGGAUAAUGUCUUCGGACCAAAGAUUUAUCGCCUUUGGAUGGGCCCGCGUUGGAUUAGCUAGUUGGUAGGGUAAAAGCCUACCAAGGCGACGAUCCAUAGCUGGUCUGAGAGGAUGAUCAGCCACACUGGGACUGAGACACGGCCCAGACUCCUACGGGAGGCAGCAGUGGGGAAUAUUGGACAAUGGGCGAAAGCCUGAUCCAGCAAUGCCGCGUGAGUGAUGAAGGCCUUAGGGUUGUAAAGCUCUUUUACCCGGGAUGAUAAUGACAGUACCGGGAGAAUAAGCUCCGGCUAACUCCGUG